rnacentral:snRNA from 1 species
AAGUGUUACAGCUCUUUUAGAAUUUGUCUAGCAGCCUUUCCGUGUUUUGCCGGAAAGCCCCU